rnacentral:lncRNA from 1 species
GACAUCACAUGCUUCCUGUGGAAACUGUGCACAAUGCACUUGGAGCAGAAACUGGGAUUCACUGGCUCACUUGGGGGAUGCUGUACCUCUGUCCUUCUUGCUUCCCAUAUGGCUCAUUGACUGGCAUGAACUCACCAGCCAUUGUUUCUUGUGUAGAAGGACCAUCAGAGCUGGAUUUACUGGAAACUAGACAAAAUAUUUAACUCAGCAGGACGCUGAAUCACAGUGAACGCAAAGCAACAGCAAGUGUGUUACAUGGAAUCUAACAUGUUCUGUGAGGCACAAGACCCUGACAACUGAAAGAAGAGGUUUGGAGAGUCUCAGACGAAGCUGAGGGUGUUUCAUUGGAAGGACCUUGUAGAGCAUGUCCCCAGGAGCUGCCUUCCUAGCGGACUGGAGACUGGGUGUCCUCCAGGAGGGGCCACCGAUCAAUUUGAUUUGAGGACUACCCUUCAUGAUCUCAUUUUGCUUUAUAUCGCUGAGAUGAUCCAUUGUCCAGGCCAUUUUAAUUGGAGAUUUUGACAUUGACAUUAUUCGGGUUGGGAAGAGCCUGAGGCAACAUAAAGUAAUUGUCUUUUAUCAGAAGAGUUCAGGAGGACACUGGGUGAUCUCCAUCAACUCUGAAAACACGGAGUCCUUCCUGAAAUACCUUCACAGUGAAAAGGACUACUUGUCAGAUGUCGAGGCCGGGAACCGGUUUGGAGAUUCUUGUGUGAUCGUUUGAGGGUGUAUGGACAUCCACAGAGUGUCACUGCUUAGCCAGUGUGGUCCAUCUUGUUAGACCAUGACUGUGCAUGCAUGGCCAGUCAGAAGCCUCUCAGGAGGUGACAUACAUGCUGGCAACACUGGGGAAUGGGCCACACAUGUCCUGGGUCACUCAUUCUCUUGACUUCCUUUACUAUGUUUUAUCUUUCAUCGUUCUAACAAAAUAUAUGAAUCUGGGUGCUGUACCUUCAGUGUAUCCAGUAGGCUUUGUCAGUAAGGUUUUGGUCUCCAACAGGGCAUCCCUAGGAGGUGGAGGAAAUCUUAGGGGUGGAGCCUAGUGGGAGCCAAGUGGGACCUAUCUAUUAGGUCAUUUUGGAUGUUGUCAAGGGGAUUGAGGAACACCAGUCUCUUCUCUUCUUUUGUCCCCUGUCAUAUUGUGAGCUUGGUUGUCCUAAAUAGGGGUCCCAUGAUCAUGUGUCAUCACAGGCCGAAAG